rnacentral:lncRNA from 1 species
ACAGCCAUGGAUAUUAGAACCAUAAUCCACCAAUUAGAAGGUAGGACGUAUUCGCCUUCAGGCAAUGGUACCGGAUCGAUAAGGUUGCUCGGCGCACACGGACACGGACAAACACAUCCGGACAAAUGAACGCUUUCUGAAAAAAAAAAACACAGAAGUGAGAACUAGUAAAUACAAAGUGUACGUGAGAGACAAAUUAAAGAAAAAUAGAGAAAGCCAGGAAUGAAGAAAAGGGCACUGGAACCUGCUUCUUUUGUAAGGUCCAUAGAGUAAGAUAAUGUUGCAUGUGUUAGGAAUAGAACCAAGAGCCCAAGAAAUAUUCCCAAACGUCCUAAGCAUCUUUCGAAAUCAACCAUGGUAAACCUAUAUGAACAUAUAAACGAUGGUGUUGUAAGAGAUGUGUGUUUAUUUUUUAUUUUUUUUUUGGUAGGGAGAUAUGUGUUCAUUAUUAUAACUCCCACAAACUCUCAUCCUAAUUAAUUACUCAAGAGCUACACGCAUAAUAACAAGACAUAAAGUUACUGAUCAAUGAUGCAUCUUAAGAAAUCGUUAAUGAUAUUAAUUACUCAGAGCUACACACAUAAUACUAUAUAAGACAUAAAGUUACUGAUCUAUAUGCAUCUUAAGAAAUCGUUAAUGAAACCUAACCAUACCUGACUAAAUUCAUGGGCUCAUAAUUUCAACAAGAAUUAUUAAUAACUAUUCUAACAAAAAUUCCAUAAAUUAUCGUUGCUAACUGACCAUAGCUACAUACAUAAAAUAACUUCAAUCUAUGCAACACAAGAUCGCACUCUAUAAUCAAAUCAAAUGCGGAAAUGCUACAAGAGAAAAAACUCCAUACCGAGAAAGAUGAGAGUGAUUAGCAAGGGUUUUGGAGGACCGAUCAAACCUUCUCGUCUUCUCGACGAGGAUCAAGAACAGAAUCAGUUAAUCAGAUCAGAGGAUAUAUCUCUCUAUAGCUCAUACUAAAAUAAAUAGAUGUUGAUGAAUUUGUGUAUUCAUACUGAAGUUUAACGAUUACAUAAAUAGAGAGAAUCGAAAUAUAUAAUCUACAAUCUAGGAAAGGAGUUACAACUCCAAAAGCUUUUGUUGCGGAACCAUUUUUGAGAAGAUGAG